UACGUAGGGUGCGAGCGUUGUCCGGAAUUACUGGGCGUAAAGAGCUUGUAGGUGGUUUGUCGCGUUGUUCGUGAAAUCUCACGGCUUAACUGUGAGCGUGCGGGCGAUACGGGCAGACUAGAGUACUGCAGGGGAGACUGGAAUUCCUGGUGUAGCGGUGGAAUGCGCAGAUAUCAGGAGGAACACCGGUGGCGAAGGCGGUUCUCUGGGCCUGUACUGACGCUGAGGAGCGAAAGCGUGGGGAGCGAACAGG
rnacentral:rRNA from 1 species